UACAGAGGUCUCAAGCGUUGUUCGGAUUCAUUGGGCGUAAAGGGUGCGUAGGCGGCGCGGUAAGUCGGGUGUGAAAUUUCGAGGCUUAACUUCGAAACUGCAUUCGAUACUGCCGUGCUAGAGGACUGGAGAGGAGACUGGAAUUUACGGUGUAGCGGUGAAAUGCGUAGAUAUCGUAAGGAAGACCAGUGGCGAAGGCGGGUCUCUGGUCCAGUACUGACACUCAAGUGCGAAAGCGUGGGGAGCAAACAGG
rnacentral:rRNA from 1 species